rnacentral:rRNA from 1 species
AUUGAACGCUGGCGGCAGGCCUAACACAUGCAAGUCGAACGAGUGGCGGACGGGUGAUUAAUGUCUGGGAAACUGCCUGAUGGAGGGGGAUAACUACUGGAAACGGUAGCUAAUACCGCAUACCCUCGUAGGUGCCCAGAUGGGAUUAGCUAGUAGGUGGGGUAACGGCUCACCUAGGCGACCAUCCCUAGCUGGUCUGAGAGGAUGACCAUCCACACUGGAACUGGGAAACGGUCCAGACUCCUACGUAGGGCAGCAGUGGGGAAUAUUGCACAAUGGGCGCUAGCCUGAUGCGGCCAUGCCGCGUGUAUGAAGAAGGCCUUCGGGUUGUAAAGUACUUUCAGCGGGGAGGCGUUACCCGCAGAAGAAGCACCGGCUAACUCCGUGCCAGCAGCCGCGGUAAUAC